rnacentral:lncRNA from 1 species
AUUUCAAGAACACAAACUAGGUACGCAAAACACUUAUACACAUAAAUACUAAACUUUUCCUUUUUAAAUAUACUCUAAAGGCAUUGCUUUCCAAGAAUGUUGCUCUUAAAUUAUUUUUUUUUGCUAUCCUCUAUCAUCAUCAACUUACAACUCCCAGUCCCAUGAGCAUACACAACCUCACUCCUCAUCACAUAAAAAUCAACUCUCCACUACUUAACCUUUUAACA